rnacentral:rRNA from 1 species
UAACACCCGAAGUCGGUGGGGUAACCCUUUUAGGGAACUAGCCGCCUAAGGUGGGACAGAUGAUUGGGGUGAAGUCGUAACAAGGUAGCCGUAGGAGAACCUGCGGCUGGAUCACCUCCUU